UACGAGAGGCCCAAACGUUAUUCGGAAUUACUGGGCUUAAAGAGUUCGUAGGCGGCGCGGAAAGUAGGGUGUGAAAGCCCUCGGCUCAACCGAGGAAUUGCGCUCUAAACUACCGUGCUUGAGGAAGCUAGAGGUGAGCGGAACUGAUGGUGGAGCGGUGAAAUGCGUUGAUAUCAUCAGGAACACCGGAGGCGAAGGCGGCUCACUGGGGCUUUUCUGACGCUGAGGAACGAAAGCCAGGGGAGCGAAUGGG
rnacentral:rRNA from 1 species